GACCAGACUCCUACGGGAGGCAGCAGUGGGGGAUAUUGCACAAUGGGGGGAACCCUGAUGCAGCGACGCCGCGUGGGUGAAGAAGCGACUCGGCGCGUAAAGCCCUGUCAGCAGGGAAGAAAAUGACGGUACCUGAAGAAGAAGCCCCGGCUAACUACGUGCCAGCAGCCGCGGUAAUACGUAGGGGGCAAGCGUUAUCCGGAUUUACUGGGUGUAAAGGGGGCGCAGACGGCGAUGCAAGCCAGGAGUGAAAGCCCGGGGCCCAACCCCGGGACUGCUCUUGGAACUGCGUGGCUAGAGUGCAGGAGGGGCAGGCGGAAUUCCUGGUGUAGCGGUGAAAUGCGUAGAUAUCAGGAGGAACACCGGUGGCGAAGGCGGCCUGCUGGACUGCAACUGACGUUGAGGCCCGAAAGCGUGGGGAGCAAACAGGAUUAGAUACCCGAGUAGA
rnacentral:rRNA from 1 species